AACACAUGCNNNGAACGGGAAGGCCCGGCGGGUACACGNGUGGCGAACGGGUGAGUAACGCGUGAGUAACCUGCCCUUCACUCUGGGAUAACAGUUGGAAACGGCUGCUAAUACCGGAUAUUCAGCUCCUGUCGCAUGGUGGGGGUUGGAAAGUUUUGGUGGUGGAGGAUGGGCUCGCGUCCUAUCAGCUUGUUGGUGGGGUGAUGGCCUACCAAGGCGUCGACGGGUAGCCGGCCUGAGAGGGCGACCGGCCACAUUGGGACUGAGAUACGGCCCAAACUCCUACGGGAGGCAGCAGUGGGGAAUAUUGCACAAUGGGCGGAACUGGAUGCAGCAACGCCGCGUGCGGAUGACGGCCUUCGGGUUGUAAACGCUUUUAGCAGGGACGAAGCGUGAGUUACGGUACCUGCAGAAGAAGCACCGGCUAACUACGUGCCAGCAGCCGCGGUGAUACGUAGGUGCGAGCGUUGUCCGGAUUUAUUGGGCGUAAAGAGCUUGUAGGCGUUUGGUUGCGUCGAAAGUGCAAACUCAGGGCUUAACUCUGAGCCUGCUUUCGAUACGUGCUGACUGGAGGAAGGUAGGGGAGAAUGGAUUCCCGGUGAGCGUGGAUGCGCAGAUAUCGGAGGACACCAGUGCGAGGCGGUUCUCUGGACUUUCCUGACGCUGAGAGCAAACGUUGGGGAGCAACAGGCUUAGAUACCUGGUAGUCACGCUGUAAACGGUGGGUACUAGGUGUGGGGGACAUUCCACGUUCUCUGUGCGUACUAACGCAUUAAGUACCCGCCUGGGAGUACGGCCGCAAGGCUAAAACUCAAAGGAAUUGACGGGGCCCGCACAAGCGCGGAGCAUGCGGAUUAUUCGAUGCACGCGAGACCUUACUGGGUUUGACAUAUAUCGGAAACGUCAGAGAUGGCGCCCGUAAGGUCGUAUACAGGUGGUGCAUGGCUGUCGUCAGCUCGUGUCGUGAGAUGUUGGGUUAAGUCCCGCAACGAGCGCAACCCUCGUCCAAUGUUGCCAGCGGGUUAUGCCGGGGACUCAUUGGAGACCGCCGGGGUCAACUCGGAGGAAGGUGGGGAUGACGUCAAGUCAUCAUGCCCCUUAUGUCCAGGGCUUCACGCAUGCUACAAUGGCCGGUACAAAGAGUUGCGAGCCUGUGAGGGUGAGCGAAUCUCAAAAAGCCGGUCUCAGUUCGGAUUGGGGUCUGCAACUCGACCCCAUGAAGUCGGAGUCGCUAGUAAUCGCAGAUCAGCAACGCUGCGGUGAAUACGUUCCCGGGGCUUGUACACACCGCCCGUCAAGUCAUGAAAGUCGUAACACCCGAACCGGUGGCCUAACCCGUUUGGGGGGAGCUGUC
rnacentral:rRNA from 1 species